AUGACCAUUGACCAGGGUGAUGCUGUCCUAGUUGUGUCCAGCAUUUCGCUUGAUGGCUAUUACCUUGAAGGCAGGUUGGAUAGUCUCCACUUUGCAGGCUUGCCUCAUCUUGUCCAUUUGGAACUCAGCGGCAACUCUCUCUGGGGCUCAAUCCUGUCAAGCAUUGAUGCUCUUGCCGAGCUCACUCACUUGGAUCUAUCCUUCAAUGGCUUGAAUGAAUCUAUCCCAACAUCCCUAGGCUUGCCUCGUCUUGUCUGUCUGGACCUCAGUUACAACAAUCUCUCAGGCUCAAUCCCAUCAAUUAUUGGUUCACUUGCCGGGCUCACUCACUUGGAUCUAUCCAACAAUGGCCUGAGCGGAUCUAUCCCAACAUCCCUAGAGUUGCCUCGUCUUCUGUAUCUGGACCUUAAAGGCAACUCUCUCCGGGGCUCAAUCCCUUCAAACAUUGGCGCUCUUGUCGAGCUCACAUAUUUGGAUCUAUCUAUCAACGAUCUUGAUGGAGCUAUCCUACCUUCCAUAGGCUUGCCUCAUCUUGACUAUCUUGACCUCAGCAGCAACACUCUCUCAGGCCGAAUCCCUUCAAACAUUGGUUCUCUUGCUAACCUAUCGUUUUUUAAUCUUUCCAAAAAUAGCAUACAUGGAUACAUCCCACCAUCUAUUUGUAAUCUUACGAAAUUAACCACCCUUGAUCUCUCUUACAAUUUGUUGUCUGGAGGAUUCAUGACUUGUACACUAGGCACACUAGACAACUUAACGGAGCUCUAUUUAAGCCACAACAUUUUAACUGGCCCAAUACCGCCUAGAUUUUCAAGUCUCACGAGUUUGAAAUUGUUGGAUUUUUCCAACAAUCAAAUCAUAGGUUCCAUUGGAAGCAUAGGGAACAUAAUGAAUUUACAAUACUUGGAUCUUUCUAACAAUCAAAUAAGUGGUUCUAUCCCUUCAACCUUCUCAAAUUUGAAAAUGGAAAAUGGAAACUAA
rnacentral:rRNA from 1 species